rnacentral:rRNA from 1 species
AGCAGCCGCCGCGGUAAUACGAAGGGGGCUAGCGUUGUUCGGAUUAACUGGGCGUAAAGGGCGCGUAGGCGGGUUUUUAAGUCAGAGGUGAAAUCCCAAGGCUCAACCUUGGAACUGCCUUUGAUACUGGAAGUCUUGAGUCCGGGAGAGGUGAGUGGAACUGCGAGUGUAGAGGUGAAAUUCGUAGAUAUUCGCAAGAACACCAGUGGCGAAGGCGGCUCACUGGCCCGGUACUGACGCUGAGGCGCGAAAGCGUGGGGAGCAAACAGGAUUAGAUACCCGCGUAGUCCCUGUCUCUUAUAC